rnacentral:misc_RNA from 1 species
AAGUCGUAACAAGGUUUCCGUAGGUGAACCUGCGGAAGGAUCAUUAUCGAGUUUUGAACGGGUUGUCGCUGGCCUUUCACGAGGCAUGUGCACGCCUGGCUCAUCCACUCUCAACCUCUGUGCACUUUAUGUAAGAAAUGGUGUAAGCCAGCCUUCACGGGUGGGCAACAAGCCGUUUCUUAUGUCUCACCACAAACACUUCAGUUAUAGAAUGUCUUACUGUGUAUAACACAAUUUAUAUACAACUUUCAGCAACGGAUCUCUUGGCUCUC